GCAGAUAAUGAACAUUGUGGACACCGCAAGUGGUGCCUCUAAAUGUGGCCUAGGAACUUUCAAAAUCACUUUGACCCUUUCAGAUUAGAGAUUAGAUCUAAGGCCUUCCAGAAGGAAAUAAUACGUGUGAGUUUAUUACUUUUGUCACCAACUCAGUGUACACCCCGUGUGUGGACAUUUUUGUGAUUUCAAAUAGACCAUAGUUUUUUUUUUCCCUUUGUCCCUUCACUUCCAUUCCGAGCCUAUAAAUAUGCACCCUAGUCACCUGUUUCCUUCCGUUCAUAUCAAAAAUCAUUUCAAAGAGAGAGAAAAGGAAAGACACCAUGGCAGGAAUCAUGCACAAGAUUGAGGAGACCCUCCACAUUGGAGGCAAAAAAGAAGAGCAAAAGAGUGGGAAAUCUGGUGAGGAGCACAAGAGUGGGAAAUCUGGUGAGCACAAAGGUGAACACAAGGGGGAGUACCGUGGUGAGCACAAGGAAGGAUUUGUUGACAAGAUCCAUGGUGAUGGCCAUGGCGAAGGAGAGAAAAAGAAGAAGGAGAAGAAGGAGAAGAAGAAGAAGGAGAAGAAGCAUGGUCAUGAUGGCCAUAGCAGCAGUGACAGCGACAGUGAUUAAAAAUCUUCCACUUUUUCUAAAUAUGAGGCGGCGUGAUGGAGUCGAAGAUGUCGAGGUCCUGUCUACCAGUGUUACAGAUACAUUAUCACAAGAAGAACAAAAAGCCUGUCCAUUUCAAUAUUCUAUGGAGUAAAUCCAAAAUGAUAUUAAUAAUAAAUAAACAUAAUGUUCUGUGUCU